AACCGUUUAGGGGUAAACCUGAGAAACCCGAAAGGUCGAAGGAAGAAAUUCAUUCGUGUAUCACUAUUGGCGAAUCUGUAUAUGUUUAGACGGUGAAUAAGUCUUAUCUCUUUAUUGAUGAUAUAGAUUUGUUCGUUGCUACGUAUAUGUUUCGACACUUAUAGUGAAGGCGUGCAUUUUUCUUCUGGUAGGACGUCGCGAUCCGUUGAGAUUUUUAUAUCGGUCUAAGACAAUUUGCGGAAGAGUUCAUUGAUACAUAUAUAGUUCACUAUGUAUGUUAUUAUUAAUGAAUCCGUUUGAUCUGGCCGAUUUGCUCGACGGUAUCAUUAAUGGUUAAAAGUCGCUAAUUUAUUUUAGCGUUAGAGGCAAGACAAGUAUAUUAAUUGUGUAAAGACAUAGUUAUUUUUAUAAUGAUUGUGUUCUCGGUAAUCGGUAUUUAUAUCAAUUCCGAGCCUUUGAUAUACUGUUGGUCGAGCAUAUCUUUAACUGACUUUAUUAUUUUUAAAUAAAACCAAUCAGCGACGCUAUAGCUUUGGGUACUUUCAGGA
rnacentral:rRNA from 1 species